GUGAGGAAUAUUGGUCAAUGGGCGAGAGCCUGAACCAGCCAAGUAGCGUGCAGGAUGACGGCCCUAUGGGUUGUAAACUGCUUUUACACGGGGAUAAAGUGUGCGACGUGUCGUUCAUUGCAGGUACCGUGCGAAUAAGGACCGGCUAAUUCCGUGCCAGCAGCCGCGGUAAUACGGAAGGUCCGGGCGUUAUCCGGAUUUAUUGGGUUUAAAGGGAGCGUAGGCCGUCUGUUAAGCGUGUUGUGAAAUGUAGAUGCUCAACAUCUGAAUUGCAGCGCGAACUGACCGACUUGAGUGCGCAGGAAGUAGGCGGAAUUCGUGGUGUAGCGGUGAAAUGCUUAGAUAUGUCACAGAACGCCAAUCGUGAAGACAGGUUACAAACUUAAUACUGACGCUCAUGCACGAAAGCGUGGGGAUCAAACAGGAUUAGAAACCCGGGUAGUCC
rnacentral:rRNA from 1 species